AGCGAACGCUGGCGGCAGGCCUAACACAUGCAAGUCGAGCGGCCGUAGCAAUACGGCAGCGGCAGACGGGAGAGUAACACGUGGGAACGUGCCCUUCAGUUCGGAACAACCCAGGGAAACUUGGGCUAAUACCGGAUACGCCCUUACGGGGAAAGAUUUAUCGCUGAAGGAGCGGCCCGCGUCUGAUUAGCUAGUUGGUGGGGUAAUGGCCCACCAAGGCGACGAUCAGUAGCUGGUCUGAGAGGAUGAUCAGCCUCACUGGGACUGAGACACGGCCCAGACUCCUACGGGAGGCAGCAGUGGGGAAUAUUGGACAAUGGGCGCAAGCCUGAUCCAGCCAUGCCGCGUGGGUGAUGAAGGCCCUAGGGUUGUAAAGCCCUUUCGGCGGGGAAGAUAAUGACGGUACCCGCAGAAGAAGCCCCGGCUAACUUCGUGCCAGCCGCCGCAGUAAUAC
rnacentral:rRNA from 1 species